rnacentral:sRNA from 1 species
UGUUGGCUGCAGGUGUGUUGCAUGCACUGUGUUGGCUGCAGGUGUGCUGCAUGCACUGUGUUGGCUGCAGGUAUGUUGCAUGCACCGUGUUGACUGCAAGUGUAUUGCAUGUACUGCAUUGACUGCAGGUGUGUUAAUGCACCGUGUUGGCUGCAGGUGUGUUGCAUGCAUCAUGUUGGCUACAGGUGUAUUGGUUUCAGGCAUGUUGUAUAUGGGUAUGGACUGCAUGUGUGUUGUUGCAUGUAUUGUGUCGGCUGUAGCCGUGUGGUGUUGUGGCUGUGUUACAUGUAGCAUCUCCACUUCAGGUGAGCAGAAUGGUUUGUCAGCAGUGAAGACCCAUCUGACAUGGGAAGCCAGCUUGCAGCUCAGAGAUAUCUGCUGAGACUAGCUGGCCUCUCCAGUCCACAGAGGAGAAUGAGCUCUGACCCGGAACCCUGAGUUAAAAAAAAAAAUAAAAGCACCCGGGAGAUGAGCUUUGUGCCUGGCAGUCGACACUGCGGAGAGAAGAUUGGCGGUGUGAAGAAAACCCGAGGCUUAAUGGCUUCCCAUUAUCGGCGGCCGUGGACGAUUAGGUUUACAUCAUACAGAUGUAAGGAAGGUAGAAGAGCAUAGCACCUUAGCCCGGUACUCGUUGGGGGAGAAGAAGAAAGCAGGGCCUAAAGAGCGAAGGGAUGUUGUCUCCUGCGGGGCAGAACUCAGGUCAUAAAGCGAUUCACCAAAGAUGGGCAAACAAGGCCGAAGGAAGCUCCAUCUCAGAGGACCAGGAAUUUUCAUUUUCUGGAGGUCAGCAUUCUCUUCCCACCUGUGGGAGCUGCUGCUGCUUUGAUGCCUUGACAUAGGCUAGAGGCCUGUGGGAGGAGGGGAUCUCAGUGGAGGGAUUGCUUCCAUUAGAUGGGUUGGUAGGCAAGUCUGGGGGUCAUCUUCUUAAUUAAUGAUUGUUUCAGGAGGUGGGUGGUGUCACCCUCGGGUAGGUUGGUCCUAGUUAUAAGAAAGCUAGCUGAGCAAGCCAGAGGGAGCACGCCAGUAAACAAUGUUCCUCCAUGGUCUCUGCCGUAGUCCCUGCCUUCAGGUUCCUGCCUUGAUUGCCUUCAGUGAUGGAGUGUGAUGUUUAAGCAAACCUCCCUUCCCCACCAUCUGGUUUUGGUCAGCGGACAUUUUUCACUUCAAUAGAAAGCUAACUAGGAUGCCACCCGAGGGAGGAACAAAGUUCUGUCUCAUGUGGGGCACUAUUCUUCGGGAGUUAUUCCAUCAGGAACUGUCCGAGUCUGUUUUCUGUGGUUAUAACAGAAUUUCUGAGGAACAAAGUUAAUGAGUUCGUCAUCCUGGAAACUAGGAUGUCUGAGAGCUUGGUUUAACAUCCUGUGAGGGCUUCCUGCUACAUCCUAACACUUAUGUUAAUUACUAAUUAUCAUGUUACUGGUGACAUAGUUAAUCAUUAAUUAACACAUGAUUGAGGCACCAAAAGACAGAGGGACGGGGACUGAGUUCAUCCAUUCAUCAGAAGCCCACUGCUCUGAUGGCUAACCCAUUCCACAAUAGCAUUUGUUAGAGUUUGGAAAGAAAGUCUCCCUGAGAGGCUGGCUGCGUUAAAGCCUCAGUUGCCAGUGGACGAGCUUCUAGGGAGAAAUGGGACGACGUGUCCCCCUGACCGAAUCAAUGGGCGAAUCUGUUGACAGACGCGUAACUAGAUGGCAUUAUUUGGAGGCUGUGGAAACCUUUGAGGUUGGGUCUCAGCAGAAGGAAGUCCCCAAGAGCUGUAUCCUGUUCUUGACCCCUCUGUUCUCUCUGCUUCCUGGGUGCCAAGAGCCGAGUAUCUUUGGCUUACACAGGCUUCUGUUGCCACGACUCUGCCUUGCCAUGGACCCACAGCCAUGAAGCCACAGCCACAGCCAUCAUGGACAUAAAUCGGCAAAACAAUGAGCCAAAAUAAAUCUUUUCCUCCUUAAAAUUGUUCUAUCAGGGACUGGUCACAGUGCUGGCCCAAAACAAACAAACAAACAAACAAACAAACAAACACAGUGUUCCUCAAUUCCUGGAGGGCAAAGUUCUCUUGCGUGAUCACCUCUCACAGAUCGCUUCUCUCCGAGCUGUAUCAGGCAACUGCAUCUCAAAAUGAACUUUGGGGAGGACGCUCAGGCAAGCAGGAUAUCGUCUUGCUCUUUCUGUUUUUGUCUUUUUUUUU